UUAAGCGACUAAGCGUACACGGUGGAUGCCCUGGCAGUCAGAGGCGAUGAAGGACGUGCUAAUCUGCGAUAAGCGCCGGUAAGGUGAUAUGAACCGUUAUAACCGGCGAUUUCCGAAUGGGGAAACCCAGUGUGACUCGUCACACUAUCAUUAACUGAAUCCAUAGGUUAAUGAGGCGAACCGGGGGAACUGAAACAUCUAAGUACCCCGAGGAAAAGAAAUCAACCGAGAUUCCCCCAGUAGCGGCGAGCGAACGGGGAGGAGCCCAGAGCCUGAAUCAGCAUGUGUGUUAGUGGAAGCGUCUGGAAAGGCGCGCGAUACAGGGUGACAGCCCCGUACACAAAAGCGCAUGUGCUGUGAGCUCGAUGAGUAGGGCGGGACACGUGGUAUCCUGUCUGAAUAUGGGGGGACCAUCCUCCAAGGCUAAAUACUCCUGACUGACCGAUAGUGAACCAGUACCGUGAGGGAAAGGCGAAAAGAACCCCGGCGAGGGGAGUGAAAAAGAACCUGAAACCGUGUACGUACAAGCAGUGGGAGCACAGGUUUACCUGUGUGACUGCGUACCUUUUGUAUAAUGGGUCAGCGACUUAUAUUCUGUAGCAAGGUUAACCGAAUAGGGGAGCCGGAGGGAAACCGAGUCUUAAUUGGGCGUUAAGUUGCAGGGUAUAGACCCGAAACCCGGUGAUCUAGCCAUGGGCAGGUUGAAGGUUGGGUAACACUAACUGGAGGACCGAACCGACUAAUGUUGAAAAAUUAGCGGAUGACCUGUGGCUGGGGGUGAAAGGCCAAUCAAACCGGGAGAUAGCUGGUUCUCCCCGAAAGCUAUUUAGGUAGCGCCUCGUGAAUUCAUCUCCGGGGGUAGAGCACUGUUUCGGCUAGGGGGCCAUCCCGGCUUACCAACCCGAUGCAAACUGCGAAUACCGGAGAAUGUUAUCACGGGAGACACACGGCGGGUGCUAACGUCCGUCGUGAAGAGGGAAACAACCCAGACCGCCAGCUAAGGUCCCAAAGUCAUGGUUAAGUGGGAAACGAUGUGGGAAGGCCCAGACAGCCAGGAUGUUGGCUUAGAAGCAGCCAUCAUUUAAAGAAAGCGUAAUAGCUCACUGGUCGAGUCGGCCUGCGCGGAAGAUGUAACGGGGCUAAACCAUGCACCGAAGCUGCGGCAGCGAACGUAUCACUUAAAGCGAUUCAGCGGGUUACGAUUGACGGAGCGAAGCGACGUCAAAGCGUAUACAAAGUCGAGUCGGUUUAAGGAUACGUUCGUUGGGUAGGGGAGCGUUCUGUAAGCCUGUGAAGGUGUGUCGUGAGGCAUGCUGGAGGUAUCAGAAGUGCGAAUGCUGACAUAAGUAACGAUAAAGCGGGUGAAAAGCCCGCUCGCCGGAAGACCAAGGGUUCCUGUCCAACGUUAAUCGGGGCAGGGUGAGUCGACCCCUAAGGCGAGGCCGAAAGGCGUAGUCGAUGGGAAACGGGUUAAUAUUCCCGUACUUGGUGUUACUGCGAAGGGGGGACGGAGAAGGCUAUGUUGGCCGGGCGACGGUUGUCCCGGUUUAAGCGUGUAGGUGUGUGUUCCAGGUAAAUCCGGUUCACUUUAACACUGAGGCGUGAUGACGAGGCACUACGGUGCUGAAGCAACAAAUGCCCUGCUUCCAGGAAAAGCCUCUAAGCAUCAGGUAACAUCAAAUCGUACCCCAAACCGACACAGGUGGUCAGGUAGAGAAUACCAAGGCGCUUGAGAGAACUCGGGUGAAGGAACUAGGCAAAAUGGUGCCGUAACUUCGGGAGAAGGCACGCUGACAUGUAGGUGAAGUGAUUUACUCAUGGAGCUGAAGUCAGUCGAAGAUACCAGCUGGCUGCAACUGUUUAUUAAAAACACAGCACUGUGCAAACACGAAAGUGGACGUAUACGGUGUGACGCCUGCCCGGUGCCGGAAGGUUAAUUGAUGGGGUCAGCGCAAGCGAAGCUCCUGAUCGAAGCCCCGGUAAACGGCGGCCGUAACUAUAACGGUCCUAAGGUAGCGAAAUUCCUUGUCGGGUAAGUUCCGACCUGCACGAAUGGCGUAAUGAUGGCCAGGCUGUCUCCACCCGAGACUCAGUGAAAUUGAACUCGCUGUGAAGAUGCAGUGUACCCGCGGCAAGACGGAAAGACCCCGUGAACCUUUACUAUAGCUUGACACUGAACAUUGAGCCUUGAUGUGUAGGAUAGGUGGGAGGCUUUGAAGCGUGGACGCCAGUCUGCGUGGAGCCGACCUUGAAAUACCACCCUUUAAUGUUUGAUGUUCUAACGUGGACCCGUAAUCCGGGUUGCGGACAGUGUCUGGUGGGUAGUUUGACUGGGGCGGUCUCCUCCUAAAGAGUAACGGAGGAGCACGAAGGUUGGCUAAUCCUGGUCGGACAUCAGGAGGUUAGUGCAAUGGCAUAAGCCAGCUUGACUGCGAGCGUGACGGCGCGAGCAGGUGCGAAAGCAGGUCAUAGUGAUCCGGUGGUUCUGAAUGGAAGGGCCAUCGCUCAACGGAUAAAAGGUACUCCGGGGAUAACAGGCUGAUACCGCCCAAGAGUUCAUAUCGACGGCGGUGUUUGGCACCUCGAUGUCGGCUCAUCACAUCCUGGGGCUGAAGUAGGUCCCAAGGGUAUGGCUGUUCGCCAUUUAAAGUGGUACGCGAGCUGGGUUUAGAACGUCGUGAGACAGUUCGGUCCCUAUCUGCCGUGGGCGCUGGAGAACUGAGGGGGGCUGCUCCUAGUACGAGAGGACCGGAGUGGACGCAUCACUGGUGUUCGGGUUGUCAUGCCAAUGGCACUGCCCGGUAGCUAAAUGCGGAAGAGAUAAGUGCUGAAAGCAUCUAAGCACGAAACUUGCCCCGAGAUGAGUUCUCCCUGAGACUUAGAGUCUCCUGAAGGAACGUUGAAGACGACGACGUUGAUAGGCCGGGUGUGUAAGCGCAGCGAUGCGUUGAGCUAACCGGUACUAAUGAACCGUGAGGCUUAACCUU
rnacentral:rRNA from 1 species